AAGAUGGGUGCUGAGGGGACCUGUGUGUUUUUUGCCUUCCUAGUGUGUCUCUCUGGGGACUCUCCUGGCUGCUCCCAAUUUUAAAUGAAGGGGGACAUGGAGAAAAGGAAUUUGGAGACUCCUGGGUCCAGCACCACCACCGAUGACAUGGGCUGCUGCAGGCCAUGAUGAUAUUAUUUAAUGAAGAUCCUGCAACUGCCCAGGAACCACAGGCUCCACUGCCCAGGGACCUUAAGCAACAGAAUAGGCUAUGCCAGGGCCUGCUCCACCUGGCAGCCCUCACCCAGGACCAACCGCAGGAGUGGUGACCGCUGGGCCCUGGGGAAGCUGGAGAUCCCGCAGAGAGGAGCACUUGUCCCACUGAAGAGACUACACCUUCUUUCCCAGAAGCCCAGCACUUCCAGAGCUUCCAGAGUGGUGAGUUGGUGAAGAUGAAGUGUGCAAGCUCCACAAGAGGCCACGCCAGGCCUAGGAUGGUGUCUCCAGUAUUUCUGAUGGCACAGCGCUCCAGGUCCACAUCACGCUGUGAAGGAGGCAGAGCUCCCACAACAAGACACAGCUUCAGUCCUCAGAAAUCACACUGAGGGGAACGGAUGUCCCACAGGCCCGCAGAGGUUCCCUGGCCUUGGCUACCUGGAAGUAGCCUCUAGUACCAAGCAGCUCUCAGCCAACCACA